AACGGCCGUACCAUGCUGAAUAUACCGGUUCUCGUUAGAUCACCGAAGUUAAGCAUCAUUGGGCGCGGUCAGUACUUGGGUGGGUGACCGCCUGGGAACACUGCGUGCCGUU